rnacentral:lncRNA from 1 species
GCCAAGAAAGUUUAUGCCCUUGUGAAGACAUUACUAUGAAGUCCUAAGUUAUCCUGUAAAAAGGAUUCUUAUGAUAUGCAUGUAAAGCAACUUCUGAAUUUUUAUGUAGAUAUUUAAGUGUCAAUACCAUCUUUUGGUAUAACACAAAAAAAAUCAAGUUUUGAGGCCAGAGAUUUACCUUGCUUUUGCAUGUGCAUUACUUUAGCUAUUCAACCCACCGUCGAGCUUUUAGUUGAAGUUCAUUAAAUUUCUUAUAUCGGCAUUUCAGGGAUAAUACGAUUGACCCAACUGUUACCGGUGCAAUGCUUUUGGGGUCGACCAAAACAUUUAAAAAUGUUAAAUGUGGUUAUGUGAUAAAAUCAAGUAUGAAGGAGGAAGAGAUCAACACCAGCCGCGGCAACAAAGAUGACAGUGUGUCUCAGUGAGCAUGAGCAAUGGCACACUCUUGUCGAGUACCUACCAAGCUGCUUCCCUGGUCAGACUUCGAGCACUUCCUCCUUGCCGCCGCCGCCUUGGCUAAUGUUGUUGUUUCCUCGGAUAAGCCGUAUCAGGUUGGUUCCAUUGCACUGCAAAUACUACCACUUCUAUUGGGCAACUAAAUACAACUUGCAAGCACGGGAAAACAUGUACACCAAUGUUGCCGGUGAUACGUCCAAAACGUAUCUAUAAUUUCUGCUUGCUCCAUGCCUCUUUUGGGUGAUAUUGCUAUGAUAUUUAUACACUUCCAUACACUUUUGAUCAUAUUUGGACUAACCUAUUAACUCAGUGCACCCCAGUGCCAGUUUCUGUUUUCUGCUGUUUUUGUAUUUCAGGUUUUUCCAUUACGAAAACUGCCAGAAAAAUUCCGAUUCCGGAAAAAUUAUAUAAAAAAUCAGUGUUCCGGAAGCUUCCACGCACCCGAAGGAGAGCCGGAGGGGGGCCACCAGGGCUCCAGGCACCCUGGUGGCGCGGCCCCCUCCAGGCCGCGCCGGGGGGCGCCUGGGCCCCCCAGGUCUCCUCUGACGCCACCCUUUGGCCUAUAUUUAACACACGUCCCGAAACCCUCGAGACGGAAACCCUUUUUCGCGAUCUCAUCUCUGUUCCGCCGCCGCCGCACUUCCAAGAUCGGGAGCGCCAGGAGAACUCUUCCCGGCACCCUGCCGGAGGGGAGGAUCACCAUCGGGAGCCUCUCCACCACCAUGGACGCCUCCCGGAUGACUCAUGAGUAGUCUCCCUUGGACCAUGGGUCCAUGACCAGUAGCUAUGUGAUGUUCUCCUCCCCUUCUUGUGCUUCACUAAUUAGACCUCGUGAGCUGCCCUACAUGAUCGAGGCACAUAUGUAAUCCUUAUGCUGUUGCUAUGAUGAGUUUGCUGGGAUCCGAUGGAUUGUGAGAUUAUGUUCAGAUUGUGUUUGAGUAAUAUAUUUGAUUUACCUCUUUUAUAUUUAUGUUCGUAAUUAAUUCUUGCAUGUUCUCCGUUGCUGUUUAUUGCUUUGGCCAAGUAGUAGGUAGUGACUCCAAGAGGGAACGUUAUGCUUGAUUGUGGGUUCAUGCCCCUCGAUGACUAGUUUGAGUGACAGAAACAUGAGUCUAGGGGAUGUGGUGUUGCCACAAGGGGGAAAACAACGGUGCUUGUGCCCGCGGGUGCAAGGAUUGUUUACUUUACGCAAAGUUAUUUUAAUGCAGUUGUCUGUUGCUUUGAGUUUACACUAUGGGUGGGGCUCGCAACUUAAUACCAGCGAGAUGUUCUGGAUAGAUAUCUCAAGGUGGAUGAUUAGUAGUAGAUGCAGAUGGAUUUCGGUCUACUUACCUUGGCGUACUGCCCAUGCUUUGAACCUCUACCUUUCUUGCAAUAUAGUUAGCAUUGGUUUGCGCACAUAAUUCUGUCAAUUGCCCAGCUGUAAUUUGUUUACCUCACAUAGUUGUUUUAUCGUCUUUUGGGAGAGAGACAUCACUAGUGAACAUCAUGGCACCCCGGUCCAUAUUACUAUCAUUGAUCACAUCCGCUAUUUACUUUCCGCUUUUACUUACUAUUUGCAGCAAUAUCUAUCACUACUAUCACUUGCGUUUGAUCCUUUGUAAACGACAAGGCCGGAGGGAUUGACAACCUCUCGGUACUCGUUGGGAGCAAAGUUAUUUGUAUCUGUGUGCAGGUCCACGUUGAUUGCUAAUAUCCGGCGCCGUUAGCGAUUGACACCUUCUUGUUGAAACUGGGAGUCUCAGGGGAUUCGAUCCUUGGUAUCUUUGCCAAGGGAAACACUACCGCUACACUGCAUCUCAAACCUUCCACUUGGGGUAACCAACGAGGAGCGAGAAGCUAGCAGCCGGGCGCGCGGAAGCCAAUUCCUUGGGUCACCCAUUGUAUAUCUGCUGCUCUAACAGUAACCAUGCCUUGCUCCCAGUAAAUUUGAGCUCGCAGCCAUUUAGGUAGAUUCUUGUCAUGCUCACAUCUAGCAGCAAGAAAAAAGAGAAGCAGAUGACCAGAGUGUAAUGUCUUAGUGGUAGUGUAACCACCAAGAUAUGAUGCUCUAAUCCAAAAUAUUAUAGGAAUAUCUACUUACUUUAACCACUUUUCGUAAUUGGUAUUUAAUCCAUCUACAUGUAGAAACACGAAAUGCAGAUAUUGUUUUGUUGAGAAAUUUUAUGAUUUGCCCAAAUGAUUAUGGACCGUACAUUGAUAAUGAUCUAAUGGUUAGGAUGAUGCAUCAUUUCAUAAUUCAAGAAAAGGUCAUGUCUUUACAGAAAUGUUCAAUUCCCCCUCAGUUUGAACUUGUAAGGUGUAUUAAUUUUUUUUAAAUUCAACCUUACCUAAUUUUCACCAAUUUUAUAGAAUAAAACAUAAAUAUCUACUAUAGAAAAUCAUUAUCAUUAGAUUCAUGAUGAAGUAUAUUUCCAUAUUUGAUUUAUUUAGUAUUGUAGGUGUUAGAUGUAUUUUGCUACAGAUUUGAUCAAACAUAGGAAACUUUGACUUUUGGAAAUUUAAUUCAUCUUAUAUUUUGACACACAUGGAGUAGUAAUCGCUGGGACCAGAUCCAUGCACCAUCAUCUGAAACACAUGUAUUCAUGAGGUGUGCUGUUAAUUUUAACAAAUCUGCCCAUGGACAGAACCUCGAUACCAUGAUUCAGAGACCAACCCACAUAGAAUUUCUGUAGACUGACAUAUGCGCCGAGUUCAUCUUGUGGUAUGUCCCUGAACUUUUCUGAUGACAAUGCUCUUAGUUGGGAUGCCAUCAGGCUCCAAACCAAACCAAAGCAAACCUGGGAGCACUUUACUUAACAAGAAAUAAGAUAACUUUUGCAUAAGGUUUUGUUGUAAUUCGUUACCAAGAUGGGUAGCACUGUAUAGUUUCUUAGCAGCAACAUUUGGCCAGCUUCUUAGAUUUUAUCUGCAUGAAUAGUAGAUUUUUCUCAUUUUGAUUUAGAACAUUGUAAAUGUUCACCUCAGUUACCAGAUUAACAUAAUGGAACGUCGUCAGGUGUAUUUGAAGGUUGCCAGUUUAGGUGGGCCAAACAACCAGUGCGCUGAGGUCAAAAUAAGCAUGACACCAGUUUGAUUCUUUUAGGGGUCGCCUACAUGAUGAAAGAUGCUCAGGCACACAUCAUUGUUGGGUUUUCCCAUGUCAUGUCAUACUUGGUUUGUAGCUGAAUCUUGAGAAUUCAUUUGUAUGACUUGAUGUACAGAC